rnacentral:lncRNA from 10 species
CUAACACACAUACACACCGUCUGAAACACACACACACCCUAACACACAUACACACCGUCUGAAACACACACACCCCCAUCUCACACAUGCACUCACCCAACACACACUGUCUAAAACACACACACCCUGUCUAAAACACACAUACAUACCUUAACACACACAUAUCCUGUCUAAAACACACACCCAUACUUUAAUACACAGACACCCACACCCUAACACACAUACCACACCCUAAAACACAAACACACCCUAACACACACGCAUACAGACCAUACACACCCGUCUAAAACACACAUACACACAUCUUAACACACAUCCUGUCUAGAACACACACCCAUACUUUUAACACAUAGUCUAGGACACACACACCCUGUUUAAAACACACAUACAUACCUUAACACACAUCCUGUCCAAAACACACACCCAUACUUUAACACACAGUCUAAGACACACACACCCUAACACAUACCACACCCUAAAACACACAAACACACCUUCACACACACACACACACACACAGACCAUAACACACACACCUGUCUAAAACACACAUACACACCUUAACACACACACACUCUGUCUAAAACACACACCCAUAUCUUAAUACAGUCUAAAACACACACACUGUCUAAAACACACACCCUAACACACACAUACCCUAACACACACGCUCUAAAACACACCCUGACACACACACCCUGUCUAAACACACACCCUAACACAUACACCGUCUCACACACACACACCCUGUCUAAAACACACACACACCACCUAACACACACACCCUGUCUCACACACACCCUAUCUAAAACACACACACCCUAACACACACACCCUGUCUCUCACACACACACCCUGUCUAAAACACACACACACCCUAACACAUACACAUUGUGUCUAAAACACACACACGCACCCUAACACACACACCCUGUCUAAAACACACACCCCAUCACACGCACACACCCUAACACACAUACACCCUGAUUCACACACAUACAACCUGUCUAAAACACACACCCUAACACACACUCUAACACACACAUACACACAGACACUUUGUGGUAUUCCUGAGACAUUCAACCACUGCAGAGCAUUAUUUAAAUGCCAUAAAAAUGCAUCUUUAUGGAUCAUUUCUAUAUUAAAAUAUAAUAAUCUUGGCGGCCACAAUAGUUAAAAUAAACAGAUUCAAGAUCAAAUAAAGUUAGAGCAGAACAUGAGGACUGGAAGCAAUCCCAGAGGAGAGCCUUCUCCCUGGACUCACAGGGUUAACACUCAACAGUGGUCUGAAGCAACUGUAUUACCAUGAACUCACUCAUCACCAAGUCAUUGUGGACAGAGACUUUUUAGCUGCUUUUAUGUGGAUGGGGGUAGCUCAGACUGAAC